UACCUUGCAAGGGGUAGCCUCAGAAAUGAAGGCUUACUUCUGUGGUAGAUUUGCAUAUAAAUAGGCACUAAAUAUUAGUAGCGACUAUUUUUUUUAUUGGAAGAGAGGCUGAAAUGCUAUCAGAAGGAGAGAGAAAAGGCUGCACCAGCCAAACGGGGUCCUGCAUGUUUGAGGGGACUUCAAUAGAGUGGAUGGAUUUUAGGGCCUAGGGGAGGACCAGACAU
rnacentral:lncRNA from 1 species